GUCUAUGGCCAUGCCACCCUGAACAAGCCCGAUGUCUGAUCUCGGAAGCUAAGCAGGGUCGGGCCUGGUAAGUACUUGGAUGGGAGACCACCUAGGAAGACCAGGUGCUGUAGGCA
rnacentral:rRNA from 1 species